UACGGAGGGGGCUAGCGUUGUUCGGAAUUACUGGGCGUAAAGCGCGCGUAGGCGGCUUUGUAAGUUAGAGGUGAAAGCCCGGAGCUUAACUCCGGAACUGCCUUUAAGACUGCAUCGCUAGAAUUGUGGAGAGGUGAGUGGAAUUCCGAGUGUAGAGGUGAAAUUCGUAGAUAUUGGCUGGAACACCGGUGGCGAAAGCGGCUCUCUGGCCCGGUUCUGACGCUGAGGCGCGAAAGCGUGGGGAGCAAACAGG
rnacentral:rRNA from 1 species